UCCAACAUGGUUCUCAAGAAUCUCAAAAACGGUUUCUGUGUUCACUCAAGUGGUGGAUGGCCAAAUGAAGGGGGAAGUCUCGUUUAUUGGAAACAGUGCAGCGGGGAAAGGUUGAAGCUGGACCUUUUCAACCUGGAUCCACCAUCAGUAGAGGUGUAAUUGGCAAUGCAGCAAGGGAAUUUACUAAAUAUAUAUACAGUAAUGUUGGGAUGGGGUUUAGACUAGUCUAACAGAACGACAACAGUGGCAAUGCCAUAACAAAAUUGAGUGGAGUUAAAGCAUGUAGUAAACGCUCAUUUCAUUUGAUAGACAGAUCGUGAUAUGGUAGCUGGCAUCGUGCACGUGGAUCUAUUCCUUUGUAUAUCCACCAUCAGUAGGGCUAAUAAUUGUCAAUACAGCAAGGGAUAGAUUUACAUAAUUAGUAUACAGUAAUGUUGGGAUACCAUAAUUGAAAGGGGUGUAGACUUGUCUAAAUGAGAAAAUAAAGUUUCUCUUGAACACUGA